UAGCCGUAAACGAUACUCGCUAGGUGUCGGCCACGGUGCGACCGUUGUCGGUGCCGUAGGGAAGCUGUGAAGCGAGCCACCUGGGAAGUACGGCCGCAAGGCUGAAACUUAAAGGAAUUGGCGGGGGAGCACAACAACGGGUGGAGCUUGCGGUUUAAUUGGAUUCAACGCCGGAAAUCUUACCGGGACCGACAGCAACAUGAAGGCCAAGCUGAAGACUUUGCCGGAUUGGCUGAGAGGAGGUGCAUGGCGUAGUCGUGU
rnacentral:rRNA from 1 species